rnacentral:rRNA from 1 species
UACGGAGGGGGCUAGCGUUGUUCGGAAUUACUGGGCGUAAAGGGCGCGUGGGCGGCGCGAUAAGUUGGGCGUGAAAGGCCCGGGCUCAACCCGGGGACUGCGCUUGAUACUGUCGCGCUGUGAGUCCGGGAGAGGAUGGCGGAAUUCCCGGUGUAGCGGUGAAAUGCGCAGAUAUCGGGAAGAACACCCGUGGCGAAGGCGGCUCUCUUGAUCGCAACUGACGCUGAGGUGCGAAAUCGUGGGGAGCAAACAGG